GUGUCCCGUGCCACUCACCUUGCUGCGGUACCAGGACUCAGCCUCAGCACGGCUGCGGCUGGCGAUGUCAUCGUACUGAGCCUUGAUCUCAGCAAUGAUGCAGUCCAUGUUCAGGUCCCGGCUGUUGUCCAUCUUGACGACGACCGAGGUGUCUGAGAUGUGAGAAUGGAGGACACGGAUCUCCUGCAGAUCAAGGGUGGUUGGCCAGCUGUCGGUUUUAUGCCUGGACCCUGACCCUCACCUCCUCAUACAGUCGCCGUAGGAAGUCGAUCUCCUGGGUCAGGGCCUCCACGUUGGCCUCCAAGUCCGACUUGCGGAGGUAGGCGCAGUCUACAUCCUGGAAAGGUGGGAGCCUGAGGGGUCAGCAGGAGAAGGCCUGGAAAACAGCAGAAGCCUCCUCCCCACAGAGCACGGGAGACAGCUGCUGGGUGAUCAGACUCCGAGAAGAGAAGGCUGAAGUAAGAGAGGUAUCUCUUGGGAGCAUCACGGCCCUACCCUUAGGCGGGCAUCUGGGCAACAAUUGCACAGGUGAAAAGAUCGUGCUGCUACACACUGCCAACCUGGCCUGCAGGGCUGCUCCCUUCACUUGGAAGUUCUUCUCAUGUCUAAUCCAAUGGCCUUUAACUUAAGUCAUUUCCUG